GCAUUGGUGACUCAGGGGUAGAACUCUCACCUUCCAUGUGGGAGACCUGGGUUCAAUUCCCGGCCAAUGCA
rnacentral:tRNA from 1 species